AACCAUAGAAACCUGCGGAGUACCUGCGGAAGGAUCAUUACAGGACUCGCAAGACUCCUUAAACCCCUGUGAACUUACUGUUUAUACGUUGCUCCGGCGGGUGCUCCGGGGUCCGCCCCGGGGCGCUGCGCCCGCCGGCAGCCUACUUAAUUCUGUUUCUCUGCGUUGGCAUCUCGAGUAAGCAAAAUAAGUUAAAACUUUCAACAACGGAUCU
rnacentral:misc_RNA from 1 species